rnacentral:rRNA from 1 species
UACGUAGGGUGCAAGCGUUAAUCGGAAUUACUGGGCGUAAAGCGUGCGCAGGCGGUUUUGUAAGUCUGUCGUGAAAUCCCCGGGCUCAACCCGGGAAUUGCAUUGGAGACUGCAAGGCUAGAAUCUGGCAGAGGGGGGUAGAAUUCCACGUGUAGCAGUGAAAUGCGUAGAGAUGUGGAGGAACACCGAUGGCGAAGGCAGCCCCCUGGGUCAAGAUUGACGCUCAUGCACGAAAGCGUGGGGAGCAAACAGG